UGAUCCCGCCUUGUUCUUUACCCUCAAGGCACUCCCUCGCUCCAUCAAGUUGAGCGGGACAGUGGGCUUUUCUAGCUUGCUAAUCAUUGCCCCCCUCACUGUAGGGAUAACUCUGGAAACCCUAUAUCCAAACUCUGGAAAUUCCAGCUCCUGCAAGAAGCCACCCCAGAUGGUUACUACAAGAACCAAGAACACCUGUAGCUAGUCUUCUAAAUCUCGGUGCCCAGUGUGGCCUGUCUACCACCCCUCCCCCACC
rnacentral:lncRNA from 1 species